GGAUUAGAUACCCUGGUAGUCCACGCUGUAAACGAUGGAUACUAGCUGUUUGUUGUUUUAAAUGAUGAGUAGCUAAGCGAAAGUGAUAAGUAUCCCACCUGGGGAGUACGUUCGCAAGAAUGAAACUCAAAGGAAUUGACGGGGGCCCGCACAAGCGGUGGAGCAUGUGGUUUAAUUCGAUGAUACGCGAGGAACCUUACCAAGGCUUAAAUGCAAGAUGAAUGUUAUGGAAACAUGACAGACUUUAUAAGACAUUUUGCAAGGUGCUGCAUGGUUGUCGUCAGCUCGUGCCG
rnacentral:rRNA from 1 species